rnacentral:rRNA from 2 species
UUGACCUCGGAUCAGGUAGGAUUACCCGCUGAACUUAAGCAUAUCAAUAAGCGGA